rnacentral:rRNA from 1 species
UACAGAGGGUGCGAGCGUUAAUCGGAAUUACUGGGCGUAAAGCGCACGUAGGCGGACCAGUUAGUUGGGGGUGAAAUCCCGGGGCUCAACCCCGGAACUGCCUCCAAAACUGCUGGUCUGGAGGUCGAGAGAGGUGAGUGGAAUUCCGAGUGUAGAGGUGAAAUUCGUAGAUAUCUGAAGGAACAUCAGUGGCGAAAGCGACUUCCUGGACGAAUACUGACGCUCAUGUGCGAAAGCGUGGGGAGCAAACAGG